CUGGCUCACUGGUUUUUGGGAUGGUCAAAUAUGCUCCUGUUUUUGAGCCAUAUUUUAAUCUCUACAGGUAUAAAAACACUUGCUUUAGUCCCCUGGAGAGUUUCACCAGCUUGAUUACAUGCUACAUGUGGCUUGACAGUGUAGAUGCAGCAUUACCAAGAGACUGAGCAGGGUUGUAUCAGAGUCACCUCUUUCAUCUGUAAAGGGUAAGUCUGUGACUACCCCUGCUGGGGCUGCUGUGUGUGCAUGUCUUUUUGGCAUUUGUGGAGCUUGGUUGUUUUUUUUUUUUGUGUGUGUGUGUGUAUGUUCUAAGUUUUUGUUUUUUUUUGAGGGGCAAAUCGUGUGUGUGCUGAGCAUGGUUGGCAGGAGGAGGUGGGGAGCUGCUCAGGACUGGUAGGUUUGGUUUCUAGGGGUGUGCGGCAGCCUUCCUGUGCAAUGCGACUGAUUGUUGGGCUGGAACGUUCCAGCUUUUGUGUGUCUUAAGCAAUGUAGCUUGUGUAGUGUGUGUUGUGUGGCCUGGGCAGAGUUUGCAGUGGUGCUGUGGGCGAAGAAUCUCAGUUAGAGCUGCUGAGCAGCUGAAGUACCGGAGCUGGGAAGAGAGAGGUCUUGCAGCAGGUACGCUGUGGCUGUGAGGUGCCUCAGAGUGUGCGUUUCUCUUGUCUCUGCAGGUGCUUUGUGCAGUUGUGGAGAGGGAAGGGAAAUCCUCAUGUCACGAAGCUCUGAGGGAAGGUGAGUGGUGUCAGCCAUGUCAUCGCUUAUCCGAAGCAAAGGGAAGACGCUCAGGUGUUUCCCUGUGAGGGUCCGAGGUGAGGCUGUUUGGGAUAGAGGAGCAGUGUGGCAGGUGGGUGCUUGCAAGCACAGUGGUUGUUUUGUCCUUUUGUGUUCCCAGGUGGCGUGGAUGACGCUGGCCGCUCCUUUCAAGCUUGGACCUAAUUUGCAGGUCCAGAGGCAAGUGGAGUGCUGUUUUGAAAGGAUAAAAGCUGAAAUGCAGUGUGUAGUGCGCAGUGCAGGAUGUCUCAACCCGAGCUGCCUCUGCAGUGACUCUGGUGCGUAAUGAGCAGAGGUAGCUGUUAUUUUUGGGGUGCGGUUGUCACUGCAGUUAUUUUCCUACAUGCUGUAGAGUAAAAUUCCAGUUUGCCUUUUAGAGGCGCUAUAAGUGGCGAAAGAGAACAGAUGGAAGCAUCUGCCGUGUGGGGCAGGCAGGCGGCUGAGGUACAGGAGGGGAUGAGAGUAUGUGCUUUUUCCUUUGGGUGGAAUGGAAUUGAUUUUGUUGGUGUAUAAUCUGUUCUGCUCCUGGGUUUUUCUUUCUAAGUUUAAAAAAAAACAUAAGUUUGAGCUAAUUCCAGUUAAGAAAGUUCCAGUUACUUGCUGAGUCGUAUUGUCCUCUUAAUAUUCAAAGCUGCAGCAAAAGCAUAGGGAUUGUUGCUUCUAGAAACACCCCAGUUCUCUUGUUUGUGCUCUGCAUGCUGUUGAGCUAAGGCAGAGUUAAAAAAAAAUAAUACAGGAAACACACACAAAAAACAAAAACAACAACAAAAAACACCAUUGGCUGACUUGUUGUGAACACAUCGAUCAUUUAAUUCCUUUGUUUUCCCGGGUGGUGUGGAUGAUACUGGCUGCACUGUUGGAGCUUGGACUCGGAGAGGAACACAUGAGCACAAUCGUAUGUUGCAUCAGUAGUAGUCAGCAUUGUGGAGAAGGUGAGCAAUGGGGCUGGCGUCCUAGUGAAUGCUGUUUCUCUGUUUUUGCAGCUGAUGAUGAGCCUGGCAAUUGACUAAGAUGACAAUCAGUGCCUGUGCAUUUCUUGAGGCAGAGAAACUUU
rnacentral:lncRNA from 1 species